CGCCUGCCUUGCACGCAGGAAGUCAGCGGUUCGAGUCCGCUUACCUCCACUCUCACUCGCCAGCAACCAACAC
rnacentral:tRNA from 1 species